UACGUAGGGUGCGAGCGUUAAUCGGAAUUACUGGGCGUAAAGCGUGCGCAGGCGGUUUUGUAAGCCAGAUGUGAAAUCCCCGGGCUUAACCUGGGAAUGGCAUUUGGGACUGCAAGGCUGGAGUGCGGCAGAGGAGACUGGAAUUCCUGGUGUAGCAGUGAAAUGCGUAGAUAUCAGGAGGAAUACCGAUGGCGAAGGCAGGUCUCUGGGCUGACACUGACACUCAUGCACGAAAGCGUGGGGAGCAAACAGG
rnacentral:rRNA from 1 species